GGGGAAUAUUGCACAAUGGGGGAAACCCUGAUGCAGCGACGCCGCGUGAAGGAUGAAGUAUUUCGGUAUGUAAACUUCUAUCAGCAGGGAAGAAGAUGACGGUACCUGACUAAGAAGCCCCGGCUAACUACGUGCCAGCAGCCGCGGUAAUACGUAGGGGGCAAGCGUUAUCCGGAUUUACUGGGUGUAAAGGGAGCGUAGACGGCGAUGCAAGCCAGAUGUGAAAGCCCGGGGCUCAACCCCGGGACUGCAUUUGGAAGUGCGUGGCUGGAGUGUCGGAGAGGCAGGCGGAAUUCCUAGUGUAGCGGUGAAAUGCGUAGAUAUUAGGAGGAACACCAGCGGCGAAGGCGGCCUGCUGGACGAUGACUGACGUUGAGGCUCGAAAGCGUGGGGAGCAAAC
rnacentral:rRNA from 1 species